GACGAACGCUGGCGGCGUGCUUAACACAUGCAAGUCGAGCGGUAAGGCCCUUUCGGGGGUACACGAGCGGCGAACGGGUGAGUAACACGUGGGUGACCUGCCCUUAGCUCUAGGAUAAGCCUGGGAAACUGGGUCUAAUACCGGAUAUGACUCCAUGACGCAUGUUGUGGGGUGGAAAGCCUUGUGCGGCUAGGGAUGGGCCUGCGGCCUAUCAGCUUGUUGGUGGGGUGANGGCCUACCAAGGCGACGACGGGUAGCCGGCCUGAGAGGGCGACCGGCCACACUGGGACUGAGACACGGCCCAGACUCC
rnacentral:rRNA from 1 species